GAAUUGCAUAAAAUUAGGAUUCGAAGAAACGUUUUUCGUAAAUCUAUUUUGUGUCCGUGAAUUUGGAUUUUGUGAUUCUAUUUUUUUUUAACGUUUGUAGAGUUGAAUUUUGAAGCGGCAAGCGUAUCUUCUGAUUGUUUCUCUCAUUGCCUCUGAUUCGGCAGCACCUUUCAAGUUUGGUACUCCACCGCCGAUAGACUAACAUACUCAAUAAUCGGUCCAAUUCUAAUAGAUGUCCCUUGGAUGUAACACCUGAAGCAACAAAAGUGGUGAUCGAAGCUGAGAUUUCAGGCCUUUCUCUUCAUCUUGAUUAAAGUGUCAAAUAAGAUGAAGGAUCCGGUCAACAGACUGGUGGUAAGUCUUUCUCGAAGAAAGGUGAGAUCCCAAGUACCGGGUUUGAUUCGAAGAAAUUGAC